CCCCCCCCCGCCUGGCUUCGUCUGGCUGGUGGCUUUGUCCAGAGCGCUCUGCCCCCUGCCCGCCGUCCUCACCGUCAGGUCUCAUUCACACGACAUGCUGCUAACCGCUGUAAAGCGUACAAUUGAAUGUCAUUUAGAACAUAUACAACGUUGGGCGCCUGAGUGGCUCAUCUGACUUCGGCUCAGGUCACGAUCUCACAGUUCGUGAGUUCGAGUCCCACAUCGGGUGAGCUCAAGCCCCAACUCGGGUGAAAACUCUCUUUCUCACCCCCUCUGCCCCUCUUGGGAUUCUCUCUCUCUCUCUCUUUCUCUCUCUGUGCCUCUCACUCACCUGUGCCCCCCCAAAAGAACAUUUACAGUGUUGUACAGCCAUCCCCUCUCCCUAGUUCCAAAACAUUUUCAUCUUCCCAAAAGGAAACCCUGUACCCCAUUAAGCAGUUGCUCCCCAUUUCCGCCUUCUGCUUUCUGCCUCUAUGAAUUUUCCUUUCUAGCCAUUUCGCUGCUAUGAAAGUUCACAUAGGAGUAUGUGUCCGAAUACCUAUUUUCAGUUCUUUUGGGCAUAUACCUAGGAGUGAAUUGCUGGGUCAUGCGGUCAUUCUGCGCUUAAUUUUCUGAGGAAUCGUCCCUUUGUUUUUGACGUCUUCCUUACCCCUAGGUGUCUGUACCUGUGCUGUCCCACACCGUAGCCACCAGCCCUGUGUGGUUGUUUCCAUUUAAAUCGGUGAAAAUGGGGACGCCUGGGUGGCUCAGUCGGUUGAGCGUCCAACUUCAGCUCAGGUCACCAUCUCACGGUCCGUGAGUUCGAGCCCCGCGUCGGGCUCUGGGCUGAUGGCUCAGAGCCUGGAGCCUGCUCCCGAUUCUGUGUCUCCCUCUCUCUCUGCCCCUCCCCCUCUCUCUGCCCCUCCCCCGUUCAUGCUCUGUCUCUCUCUGUCUCAAAAAUAAAUAAAUGUUAAAAUAAAUAAAUAAAUAAAUAAAUUGGUGAAAAUGAAACAAAACGAAAGAUUUAGAUCUUCGGUCACACCAGUUAUGUUUUAAGGGCUCAGUGGCUGUCUGCGAUUAGCAGCCACCGAAGUUCCACCAUCCUGGGACGUGCUAAUGGACAGUGCUGGUCUACACUGUGAGAUCCUCCCUGAGGGAAGGACUAACCCUGCCCGGUUUACCGGAAUGUACCCAAUGUCUAGGAAAGCUCCUGGCAUGUAGGAUUGUUAUUUUAGGGAGGGAGGAAAGAAGGGUUGCUUACAGGAUCAUUUCUUUAUUUGAUCUUCUCGGAAGAGCUCUACAGGCGGCAGAAAACGAAUACUUUUCCCGUUUUUAAAAUAACAGUCUCAGGGAGGGCAAUAGCAAGCCCAGGGUCACAGAGCUGGUAUGGAUCGUGACCCUCCAUCCUCCCCCUCCCUCCACCAGCUAGACCUUGAGUGACUCCCGAGGCAUUUGGACAGAAUAGUAGUGGGCAGCCCGGGGGCUGAAAAAUACCAGAGGUGGCUGACACAGUAGUCUGGCUUGAGAGGCAUUAGGGCAUUUUUUUACUGUUUACUUAUUUUUGAGAGAAAGAGAGAGAGCAGAAUCAGGGAAAGGGCAGAGAGACGGGGAGACACAGAAUCUGAAGCAGCUCCGGGCUCUGAGCUGUCCGCACAGAGCCCGACACAGGGCUCAAACCCACAGACCGUGACAUCAUGACCUGAGCCGAAGUCGGACGUCCAACCCACUGAGCCACCCGGGCGCCCCUGCAGCUUUGUACAUAGGACAUCAGACCCCAACAGGCCUUGCUCCCCGCCCCUGCCCUGCCAAUGCCACAGGACGCCGUGUGCUUCCCAAGGUCACCUUCCCGUCUUCCCAUACUCCCCAGACAGCAGAAGCCUCGAGGAGCUGAACCCAUGGGGUUCCCUGCACGCCUCCCCACCGCAACCCUGCUGUGUCUCCGAAAGGCUGGAUGUGCCCAUCCUCUCUCCGUGUCCUGCUGUGUCUCGGGCCCAAUGGCACAUGUGCCCUUAGUUUCGGAGAGAUCUCAGGAAGACAAGCCCGAAGCCACGCGAAGCAAGACGCCAGCGUCUCCCCAGCUCUGUGUCUGCCUCAGGACUCCCCAGAUGUGCUCUCGUGAGAGCCCUUUCCCCAUGCCAGAGCAGCGGCCGCAGCUGAAUCCAGCUUAGGCCCAGCCGGCCUUGCCCACACACCAGAGAGGUCACGGCAUGCCCUCGCUGACGGGCAGCACCUUACGGUUCCAACGGCACCCCGUUUUACAGAUGAGACACCAGGACCCGGAGAGGGCGGGGCUGGAAGCAAGGUCACAGCAUGAGUGGUUCCCAGGGCGGUUUGUUUUGUUCUGGACCAAAAGAGCAAGGAGUCUGAGCAGUGGUGCGGGACGCCCCUGGUCUUUCAGGCGUGACAGACCUCCUCGCAGUGACAGCCCCAUGUUGGAACCUAUUUGCUACCCGUGGGGCACAGAAGUUAAGUGUAGGAAUUGAGAGUAAGCAUUUAGAAAUAUUUAUAGUGGCUUCAUGGAGAAAUUUGUUUCUUUUUUUAACUUUUUUUUUUUAAUGUUUAUUCUUGAGAGAGAGAGAGAAACAACAUGAUCGGGGGAGGGGCAGAGGAGGGGGGUGGACAGAGAAUCGGAAUGGGGCUCUGGGCUGACAGCAGAGAACCACAGGCGGGGCUCGAACUCACGAACUAUGAGAUCAUGACAUGAGCCGAAGUCGGACGUUCAACUGGCUGAGCCGCCUGGGCGCCCCCAUGGAGAAGUUUUAUAUCUACUAACUCUACUAAUAAAAAAUCUGGCCUUGGUUAUUAUGUUAGUUUUUUGUGCUUUAAUUUUUCUAAUGAUUCCUUUUUAUUGUAUUUUAUGAAAGUGUCGAUCUGUGAUGAA